GAUGAAGAACGUAGCGAAAUGCGAAAAGUAAUGUGAAUUGCAGAAUUCAGUGAAUCAUCGAAUCUUUGAACGCACAUUGCGCCCGCUGGUACUCCGGCGGGCACGCCUGUCCGAGCGUCAUUUCAACCCUCAAGCCUUCCUUCGGGAUGGGCCUGGUGUUGGGGCUCGGCCGCCAUCUCCGGCGGCCGUCCCCUAAAUACAGUGGCGGUCACGUCGCGACUCCUUUGCGUAGUAGAAACACCUCGCUCCGGAUAGCAACGCGGUCCACGCCGUAAAAUCCCCAAUUUUCAAUGGUUGACCUCGGAUCAGGUGGGAAUACCCGCUGAACUUAAGCAUAUCAAUAAGCGGAGGA
rnacentral:misc_RNA from 1 species